UUGACCUCGGAUCAGGUAGGAAUACCCGCUGAACUUAAGCAUAUCAAUAAGCGGAGGAAAAGAAACCAACAGGGAUUGCCCCAGUAACGGCGAGUGAAGCGGCAACAGCUCAAAUUUGAAAUCUGGCCCCCCUCGGGGGCCCGAGUUGUAAUCUGUAGAGGAUGCUUUUGGCGAGGCGCCUUCCGAGUUCCCUGGAACGGGACGCCAGAGAGGGUGAGAGCCCCGUAUGGUUGGACGCCGAGCCUCUGUAAAGCUCCUUCGACGAGUCGAGUAGCUUGGGAAUGCUGCUCUAAAUGGGAGGUAAACUUCUUCUAAAGCUAAAUACCGGCCAGAGACCGAUAGCGCACAAGUAGAGUGAUCGAAAGAUGAAAAGCACUUUGAAAAGAGGGUCAAACAGUACGUGAAAUUGUUGAAAGGGAAGCGCUCGUGACCAGACUUGCGCCGUGGGGAUCAUCCGGCGGACUCCGCCGGUGCACUCCCUGCGGCUCAGGCCAGCGUCGGUUGUCGCGGGGGGAUAAAGGCUCGGGGAACGUGGCUCCCUCCGGGGAGUGUUAUAGCCCCUUGCGCAAUACCCCCGCUGGCGACCGAGGUCC
rnacentral:rRNA from 2 species